GGUACUGUGGCUUAGUUGCUGAAAGCGCUUGUCUUAUAAACAGGAGAUCCUGGGUUUAAAUCCCAGCGGUGCCU